rnacentral:tRNA from 1 species
UUUAAUAUGGCAGAAUAAAUAGUGCAGUGGUGUUAAGUACCUCAAAUGAGAUUUUAUAAAACUCUAUUAAAA